GGCAAGAAUGACCAUGGAAUAUCAGAAGAGAAAGGGCACUGCAGGGCUGGCUAAUAGCUCAACUCCCUCAUCUUCUGGUUGGAGGACUGAGGCCAGAGCAGAGUGAUCUGCCCAACUUUAAUCACUAGCUGGUAAGAGAGACUCCGCUUUGAUAACUAGCUGCUAACAGAACUCAACUCCAGUUGUCCCGACUCGCAGUCCAGUGCUCUUUGCAGAGUGAGCACUAAAAUGAGCACCGCUUCUGUAGGAAGGCAGCUGUCAUACAUACAUACCAUGUAAUGAGCACCUGCCAAGGACUAGGCACUCUGCCCAGUGCCCUAUUUGCCUGCUCACUCUUAAUGACAUCUUAAGCUGCAUAAUUUGGGAGAAAGUCACGGAGAAGGAAGGGAACGGAAGCACGAAGCCUCAGUUUCCUCAUUUAUUAAGGGAGGAGCUGGACUGAGAUGAUCUCUGAGGCCCAUCCUCGUUCUGGAGGAAACACAGGCAUGGCCUGGCAAGAGGCAACGAUGACUUCCAGACCAUACCUCCCAGACCAGACCAGCAGUGACCUGUUCUUCGCCCCUCCAGCCGUUCCUCACCUGCUCAGG